CUUCUUAUGAUGAUCAGACCAGGACAGGAACAGCAACUCUAAUUUCCUCUAUCGUGCCUUAGCAGCAACACUUGCUCGAAGAGUCUAUUAUAGUGAUAAAAUGAUAGGGCAUAAACAUUAGUAACUUUCAGGUUCAUGCCACUAGUAGUUAAACGUUAAUGUUGUCCAAAGGCAAUUACCAGAUCAUGUUUCCAUUUCUCUGUGAUUUGCUCCCCCGCUCUUGUUGCCUUCGCUUCUGCCUGCUUGCAUUGAGAACCAUUUAAUAUGACGGAUAAGCAACAACAAAUUACGGAAAGGUGAUAAGCUGGACGCUCAAACAGAAGCAACAUGUUUCCUCUGCAUCUAAUAAUCAUGCUUAUAUCCAAAGUGAACGACUGACGAACAUAAUUCACAUUUAGAAUGACCUCAAGAACUACAAAGAAUAGAAGACUUCCUCCACAUGCCGGAUAGAACUCGCAGAAAGUGACAUGCAUUAUUAUAAGCAACCUAGUGGGGAAAUAAAACAGAUUGAUCACUGCACAAAAUAGAAGACAAAGUUUACUCACCCUUCUCAAUGAGUCUGACCUACGCAUGUCCGCAUCCUUCUCAAUGAUAAUUUCUC
rnacentral:lncRNA from 1 species